rnacentral:rRNA from 3 species
UUGGUGUGAAUUGCAGAAUCCCGUGAACCAUCGAGUUUUUGAACGCAAGUUGCGCCCAAAGCCAUCCGGUUGAGGGCACGCCUGCCUGGGCGUCACG